UCCAGCAGCUAUAUCACCUUGCAACUCACAAGUGACAGCCCAGUGAAGCUCAGCAGGAGUGAGCCUGGUCAGUACCUGGACGCGAGACUCCUGGGAAAGCUAAGGCUGCUGCUGGAA
rnacentral:rRNA from 1 species